GGAGAGAUGACCGAGUGGCCGAAGGUGCACGACUGGAAAUCGUGUGCAUCGCAAGAUGCCGAGGGUUCGAAUCCCUCUCUCUCCG
rnacentral:tRNA from 1 species